GUGAAUCAUCAAAUUUUUGAACGCAAAUUGCACUCCCUGGUAUUCCGGGGAGUAUGCCUGUUUGAGGGUCGGUAGAUUAAAAAAUCGAUUGGUCGCUCUUUUUUUAAGGUUAAUCCGGUCGGAAUGAAGCGGUCUUUCAAAUGUUAUUUCUUGUCAAAGUGGCUUGAAAUUUAUCAAUCUGGUACG
rnacentral:misc_RNA from 1 species